AGAACUUAUUUUCCUCCUCAACUCUUGAAACUUAGAUAAUUUGUUUUCUUUCUUUCUUCUUUCUUUUCUUGAUUGCUGUUAUUAUGGAAAAUGGUAGGGGAGAAUUUUUCUUUUCGACUCACACUUGAAGAAAACAUGUCCCACACAAUCCCUCCGUCUCCAUCAUGUCUCGUAAAAUCUAUCUUCACACUAAAUGUGCUAAGAAUCUCAUCUGUCUCUUUGGGACAAAUGCCCACCUCCAAAAAGAGCCUUUUGUUUUCCGUGCUAAGUAUGGACAUUGAGGCAAUUAUCUCACCCAAAGGUUUUUGAGAUAAUGGGCGAUUUCCUGUUUUGUUGACACUUGCUGUUAAUACUGUACUCUCCCAUCACCUUAACUGCAAUAUGUGGUUAUCAUGGAGCUUCUGCAGAGUAGUCUUAUGCUCAUGAAGCAAUAGCCAAUGAUAAAAACAAUCACAGAAGAAGAGGAAUUUCCAUCAUUUAAUUAGGCAAAGGACACAUAAGUAAAUAUCCUGGGCACUGUGUCAGAAAUUCAGACUUGCGGAUUAGGACCAGGCUGGCAAACAUUCUGUGAGCCUUGGGGGCAGACAAGGAAAUGGAAGAGCUAGGUUGCCCUGAUAAUUAUUAGUGGAGGGACUGUUAAUCCUUGCUCAGGUUACAUCUCCUUCUGUGGGACUUAGCUCAUAAUAUUGUUAUUUGUUUACUGCUGACCCGAGAGCCUUCAUGACAAGUACCAUGUGACUUUCAUUCUUGUAUCCUUGGUACCCAGUACAGCACAUCUAGCCCUCAAUCAAUGCUUCCUGGGUGAAAAAAUACUUCUGUGUCUACAUUCACAGACUGGGAGUGAGUCCAUGUGUUUUCAGUGUUCCUUUAGCCGUGUCUAACACAGAUGCUAGCUGAGGUGUCCUUCUCUUUAAAAAAUUUAGAUGAGAUUUGUCUUUAAAACCUUCCCAAGAUUUCUGUGAACCCCAGGAGAGCUUCCUUUCUCAUGGUUUCCUCUGGCUACACAUUGUGCUUCCACUGAAUUAGUUCAAUUCAUGAACGAGCUCAUCAUCCCACACAGUCUUUUGCAGUAUCUUGACUCAAAUGUGGAACUGAGUCCCUUGAGUUUCACCAAAACCUCACCCACAUUGGGCCUUUCAUCUUUAGAACUUUACAGAAGUUUUAAGAGAUGUGGGUGAGGGACAGUCUACAGAGCAACAGCAUAAGCUUGAUAGUACUGAAUAUCAGACACUCCAGUUUUUACAAGACAUUCUACCAUGCUCCAUAUUCCUUGGCCAUCCUUGUUUAUCUUCGCUUCUCUUCUCUGUCCACUCCCACCUCUGAGUUUCUAAUAACUUAAAAAUUACACAUGUCCCAUCUGUAUUCCUGAAAUGACACAUUCUCACCUUUCUCCUUCAGGUCCAGUUUCUUAGGUAGGGCCCCUGAGAAGGCUUCCAUGCACUAAGAGAGAGGAGUCAAAAGGAAAGCCAAGUCAGAUGCCAGGGAGCAUUCCCGGGAAGGGUUCUGGCAUGGCCACCUCCCAUGGCCAAGCCCUUGGAGUUGGAAACCACAAGAGAAGCCCCACCAAAGUUUUGAGAUCUGAGCAAAUGGGGCUUUGCGGGGAGGAAGCAAGAUCCCUGAGCUCCCCAUCAUGGCUCAAGUGUGGAGGCAGCAUGGCAUGGGUGUCUGCACGUGGACCAAGGCCCCUUCAAGGGUUCCUAUGAGCAAGACAUGCAGUGGAGAGCAGAAGGAUGGUCUCAUGCCAGCCAGAGCAGCAUGAAGUAGCAAAGCCUCCAGAAAUCCCUGCUAAGUCUUCUGAGGCCACAGAGGAAUAAAGGAGAAAAUGGAGCAUUUCCAGUGUUGCAAGAGGAAUGCCAAAGGAUCAGUGGAUCAACUCAGGAGAACCUCCACUAUGAUAGAAAUGGCGAGAGCAGACAUCCUUGUCUUGUUCCUGAUCUUAAGGGGAAAGCAUUCAGUCUUUCACCAUCAAGUAUGAUGUGGUGAACAUUCUUGAACAAGUUUUUUAAGAACUGAGGUCUUCAUUUGUAUUGAGUAAAUACCUCGGACUAGAACUCCUGGAUCACAGGAUGCGAGGAAACUGAGGCUAAGAGAGGAAAGUAAUGUGGUCAGACUCACAAGGAAACACAGAGGUAGGAUUUGCAGACCCUGCCAUAUGGUGCAGAGGUUUUCUAAGGAAACACUGCUUAGGAACCCGGCCCACCCCCACUCCUUAUCCAUUCUAACCUCCAAGCGUUGUUGUGACAACACGUAGCGACUCCUUUCCCCAUCCCAAGUGGUGAUUUUAACAGUGAACCCUUUAAUUCUUCCUCUCGGGGACAUCCAUCUCAUCUAUGACAUGUAGCAAAGAUGAUUAAUCGAGACAAUUGGAAUAUUAGUGGCUCAGAUUCUCAUCCCCAUCGGGAGACCAAACACACACAUACCAAGGAGAAACCAUACACAGGUUUAUUUUAUUGUAUUUCUACAAAGGCAACAUCAACUUACCCUGUUAAAAUCACUUCUGAAAAUAAAUUUUCUGGAAAUGCAUUCUUUAUAAAUGUAAAGCGUGCAAUAAUGUGUAAAUUUACAGAAACAUUUUAAACUGGUUAAGUCAGGUAAUAGUCUGUAAAAUAGGUUUUGUUUCUGGAGAUAGUACAGGUAUCCCUAGACUUUCUUAAAGUCUUUACUUAAUUCUGAUUAAGGCUGUACGAACAGAGAUUUAUCUUAAUGGUGUAAAAUGAUUAAUUACAUAAUUAAAAUGACCUGUAAGAACUUUUGAGUCAUCCAAAAGUUAAAAAGCAGGGCCAGUAUUUUAAAAGAGAGGAUGACAUCUUGGAAAGUCAUUUUUAUGCCACACCAGCGAUAACUUUUAGUGGAUUAUUCUUGCCUCACUUGACGGCAGGCACUUCAAAAUGAUUAAGGAAAAAUUGUCAUACUUGAUUAGUCCUCAUCAUUUUUGGUUUUGAAGGAAAUGUUUGUAAAUGAGUAAAAGACCCCAAAUAAAUGUG